UACAGGGGGGGCAAGCGUUGUUCGGAAUUACUGGGCGUAAAGGGCUCGUAGGCGGCCAACUAAGUCGGAUGUGAAAUUCCUGGGCUUAACCUGGGGGCUGCAUUUGAUACGUGUGGGCUUGAGUGGGGAAGAGGGUCGUGGAAUUCCCAGUGUAGAGGUGAAAUUCGUAGAUAUUGGGAAGAACACCGGUGGCGAAGGCGGCGACCUGGUCCUUGACUGACGCUGAGGCGCGAAAGCGUGGGGAGCAAACAGG
rnacentral:rRNA from 1 species